rnacentral:misc_RNA from 1 species
CCACCUACAAAUAACAGAGCAAAUCCACCACUAUUUUUGAAAACUGCUUACAAAUUCACAAAAGUUAACUUAGCUCAAAUACAGUCCGUUAUUUAUUACGCAAGACUACAGCUAAUUCUCGAGGUAUUUCACACUUUAGUGCUAACUGCGCAUCAUGCCUUUCAACUAACUCUACGCUCACCUCGAAAGAAAAAAUCUAUACUUAAUCGAAUAUAAAGACACUUACCCUACUUUUACUUAAAAAGUCGAUACUUUGCCUCAGAGAUCAUAGGUAAAAG